UUUAAAUCCAGCAAGCGUUCGAUUACACAAUCAUUCUGGAAAAUGUUACAAAGCGACAUUCGAUGACCCGUAUAACAACCGCUGUAACUUUUAAGAAGUAUGCGAACCCACGUCAUUAACGGAUGGAAUGUUACAUUCCAUCGGAAGAGAUCACGACUUGGUCAGAGACAGCGCAUGUUCAGUUCAGAGUUGAUCCGUACAGGGCGUGAGCAAGUCCUCUGGCUGAUUAGUAGAGUCUGUGGGAGAAAAAAAAAACUAAUCGCGUUGAAAAUAAAGGAUGUUAUGCGAAUGUUACGCGUGCAAUAACUGGAAUGUGCACCACUUACUCUUCAAGACAGAAAUCGACAUUUCUACCAGUUGAAUUGAACAUCAGGAGUGAAGACCUCCGUUUCAUACUAGUGUCAACUGUGUCAUUAAAUGGAUUUCUUACGUCUGAAUGACGUCGAACUGCUGAAGGUCCAGCCACACCCCAUUCCCAUAUUUUCUGAGGAGUAUCGGGAACAGUCUCUGGGAGGCCUAUUGGCUGACCUGCAGCAGUUCUUCACUGGCAAGCUUUAUGUUCUUGUUUACCAGCUAAAGCUGCCAGCUGAAGAACUGUUGUGGUUUGCUCUUUCCUGGCACAUCAGCUGAGAGAUGACUGUACGGAGGUAAAGGCAUUGUGGGCUCAGGAAUUAAGUCCUACCAGGCAGUCGAUAAGGCUGUCCGAACCAAUCCAAGAUGAGACUGAUCCCAUUUAUUUUCUUAUCCACCACCAGCCUUCCCCCAUCCACUCACGUGAGCUGCCCAAGCUUGGCUAUUCGUUCUUCUCAGGCAUUAACAACAACAACUACUAAGCAGGGACUAUCCUGAUUCAGCAACAUUCCUGGCCUGGUGAGGUCUCAAUGCCUUUUUGUGGGUGGGGAAAAGGCAGGGAGUGGCAUUAUGUGCUCUCAUCAGAGCUGACAGAGGUGGCCAUCUUCCUGUUCUGCUGUAGCAAAUGAAGAGAAAGCUGGAGGAUGGAGGCUGUUGUCUUGUCUUAUAUGUAGUUGCAAGAAAUCAUAUGUAAAUCUUAAGAACUACUGAAAGAGGAGUUUGUGUUCUUAUAAAUGUUUGUGUUUUCUGGACACGUG